AAAAAUUUAGUUAAUGAUAUAAUAUUAGUUUGUCAAACUAGAGUUACACCUUUGUAUUUUUUA
rnacentral:tRNA from 1 species